GACGAACGCUGGCGGCGUGCUUAACACAUGCAAGUCGAACGGAAAAGCCCUGCUUUUGUGGGGUGCUCGAGUGGCGAACGGGUGAGUAACACGUGAGUAACCUCCCCUUGACUUUGGGGUAACUUCAUGAGACUGGGGCUAAUACCGGAUAGGAGCUCCUGCUGCAUGGUGUGGGUUGGAGAGUUUCGGCGUUUGGGGAUGGACUCGCGGCUUAUCAGCUUGUUGGUGGGGUGGUGGCGUACCAAGGCUUUGACGGGUAGCCGGCCUGAGAGUGUGACCGGCCACAUUGGGACUGAGGUACGGCCCAGACUGCUACGAGAGGCAGCAGUGGGGAACAUUGCACGAUGGGCGGAAGCCUGAUGCAGCAACGCCGCGUGCGGGAUGACUGCCGUCGGGUUGUAAACCGCUUUCGCCUGUGACGAAGCGUGAGUGACGGUAAUGGGUAAAGAAGCAACGGCUAACUACGUG
rnacentral:rRNA from 1 species